rnacentral:lncRNA from 1 species
CAGUGGCGGAGCCAUAUGGUGGAGAGGGGGGUCAGUUGACCCACAUGACUUCUACAAAUAAAUGAGUUUAGCUUAUGUAUAAUUGAUUUUGGCUGGAACAUUUGGUUGAAAUCCAUUAGUUUGACCCCCAUGACACUAGUUCGAACAUGUACUUUGACCCAUCUUAAUUUUUUUUUAGUAGUAUUAUAUAAUUAUUUUAAUAAAUGACCCCUACGAGAGAUGAUGCUGGCUCCGCCACUGUCUAUAGGUGAGUAACCAAAAUCUUGAAAGUAAUUAAAGGGCAUCUAAACCAAACUUGGUGACUUGGAGAGGUGUGUUAAGAAACUCCUAUUUAUUGACGAGUGUUUAUAUACCUUAAAAACGAUUGAAUGGUCAUGGUGAGAUAAGUGAGGCUAAUUAUACUCUUAUUUCAACCCGAUUUGAGUGAAUUAUAAAAAUAUUUAUUUUUCUUCUCUUCUGAUACCUACUUGAUCCUCUGAUCUCUCUCUCCUUUCACUUUUGGCGAAUUAUCUUCGUUCGUUCUCUAUGAGUUUUGGGGGUGGUCGCACUUAGGGGAAUUGUGGAACCCUUUCCGUUCUAGACUUGGGAAACUUUUGGUAAUCUUGUCGCAGAGCCUUUUAACCAUAUUAGGUUUAUAGGGUUUCUUUUACGGAUUUGAUGAUCCCACAUUAGGCUCCUUUAGCAAUUCCUCUCUUGGAUUGAUGUACGUAAAAUUGAUUAUUACAUAUAAAUAUUGUUAAUAAGAUGAGAAGUUAAUUUUUGUUUUUUUAUAUAUGUAUAAUUUUUUUUUUUAAGAUAGUUCAAGUGUUAUACACUUUUAUCCUUAAAAAUGAUUGGACGCUUUUGGAAAAAAAAAGUUAUUGUUUUCUUAAAAAUAUUUUUAAUCGCCAAAUGCACAGAACUAACAGUACGUGGGAUUCAUGGAACAAGACGAUGAUGAUUGUCGUAUCAUGAAGACCUAUCAAAGAUCUUUAAUAAGAAUCUAUGUUUUUCACUUUCGGAGUUAAAACCAAAAGCCAGAAAAAGUUAAAAAAAGGUAAAGCCUACUGAUGUGAUUAUACAAAAUAGACCAUUAUUCCCUCUAUUAUAUAGCUAACUGUUCUAUUUAGCAUCUUUUUCAUGAUUGGGAUUUUGAAUCACCAACUUUUUCCUUAACUUCCCCAGGAGUAAAACUGUAAAUAAUAUGUUAGGAUGUGAAAAAAAAAAAAAGGAUGUGAUUGAAAUGAUAUAUUUCCGCACCCUUAAUUAAUAUGAUCUAAAUGAAAAUAGACUUUCAUUAAACUGAAAGACAAAUCUUUUUUUUUUUGAACCAAAUUGAAAGACAAAUCUUAAAUCUUAAACUUUCUCAUAUAAGUAUAACCUUAAUACACAUCAUAAUAGUUUCUUACACAUUAUGUUAGGUCAUUAUCCGAUGUACCCAUUAUCCGAUUGGAUUAAAAUAAGCAUAAUGUUAGGCCAUUUGUGGAAUUGGGUUCUUUAUGCAUGUAAAGUCGUGGACCUUUACACUUUACUCUUUCAUUAUUUAUGAAAAUAACUCCUCUCAGGUCUUCACUAAAGCAAUUAAGAAAUAUAAUCUUUCGUAUUAAAUUUAAAUUUUAAGUGACAUUUUUAGAAUAAAAAAUUGUUAAAUCAAUUUAGAUGACAUUUUAAUGUGCAAUAUAAUAUUAUUUUUUGACUAAUUUUGAAUUGUGGUUAAAUAAAUAAUAAAUCAUUACUAUAAAUAAACAAGUUUUUAAUUUAUAUGCAGAAAUAUUAAAUAUCAUAAUUGUGAUACAUAAGGAGUAUUAUUGAUCUAUAUAUAUAUAUAUAUAUAUUAUAUAUGUGGAGCAUAUGUUAAGAUUUUCUAACUAGUCAUCUUAGACCAAGUAAAUUUUUUUUUGGAUCUCAUACUCUUCCACUACUAUGUGUAUCAUAAUAUGCUAGAUUUUUUAAAUACAUUUGAUAUUCUUUAUAUAUGUUUGAUAGAAGGAUAUGUAUAUCACCCAAUAUGAUAGUUAUAUGAACUAAUUGUUCUACAUUUUUAUUUGGUGUAACUUGUUAUAUGAGUCGCGAGUGAGUACUUAGUUUAUGUCUGGAUAUGCCUCUUUGGAUUCAUGUUGCAUAUUUAGUUCCGGAAUCCCGAUAGGAAGAUUGACAUUGCAAAUAUUAUUUUAUAUUUAGUAUUAAAGUUCAAUAGUGUUUGAGUACAUGGAAAAAAAUAAAACAAACAUAAGCAAACACUUCAGAAAAAAAAAGAUACAGUUUAUUGUCGUUUCUAUUUGGAGUUACAUGUACAUACACUUAUAAAAACAUUUCUGUUAUUGCAAUUUCCUCCUUUUAAUACGUUCCAAAAAAUGGUUUAGUAGUUAGUACUUAGUAGUAGAAGGAAGACUUCUUACAGCGGAAAAACCGAACUCUUGUUCGUAUUGAAGCAUGUUGACAUCGAAGCUCGAGCUUCCGAGCAGCUUGCUUCAUCCCCGAUGUCUCUGUUCUCUUGUCUGGUAGCGUUCUGACUCUCAUUCUCGCAAGAUUCUCCCGGAAAUUCUAUACUUUCCUUGUGGCUUUUUGCACAUGUAAGUGAAUCAAUAGUACACUCCUCCAAAAGCCUAACUUGCUCGUCCGUCUCUGUUUCGGAUCCAACUCCAUCGUUCUCCAAACGAGAUCCUGACCCUCCGGGAGCUACAUCGACCAGACCAGCGUACGGUGGACUAAUAAUCGCUAUACCAGCUCGACACAGAGGACAGUUGGUGUGUGACCUAAGCCAAGUGUCGAUACAAGAGAUGUGAAAAGCGUGGUUACAUUUAGGCAACAACCUAAGACUUUCGUCUUCUUGAAACUCGUUUAGACAAACAGGACAAUCUGUUCUCUCGAUCAACCCAUCUCCUCUCUUGUAAGUACAUAUCGUUAUCGAGUUAAUGGUCGAUUGUUGAAGACCUGUUGUUCUGAUCAACCAUAUUGGAUGAUCCACUUGUUCCCUAUCUUGAAACUCUUCAUCAGAUGUGUCGUCA